UCCCUGGUGAUCCAGUGGCUAAGACUCCACACUCCCAAUGCAGGGGACCCAGGUUUGAUUCCUGGUCAGGGAA
rnacentral:tRNA from 1 species